rnacentral:rRNA from 1 species
AGAGUUUGAUCCUGGCUCAGAAUGAACGCUGGCGGCGUGCUUAACACAUGCAAGUCGAAUGAGAAAGGGAUUGCUUGCAAUCCUGAGUAGAGUGGCGUACGGGUGAGUAACACGUAGAUAAUCUGCCUUCAAGCCUGGGAUAACUAUUCGAAAGGGUAGCUAAUACCGGAUAAAGUCGAUUUACAAAAGUGGAUUGAUGAAAGAUUGCCUCUUCUUGAAAGCAAUUGUUUGGGGAUGAGUUUGCGUACCAUUAGCUUGUUGGUGGGGUAAAGGCCUACCAAGGCAAUGAUGGUUAGCUGGUCUGAGAGGAUGAUCAGUCACACUGGAACUGGAAUACGGUCCAGACUCCUAUGGGAGGCAGCAGUGAGGAAUUUUGCGUAAUGGGGGUAACCCUGACGCAGCAACGCCGCGUGAGUGAAGAAGGCCUUUGGGUCGUAAAGCUCUGUCAACUGGGAAGAAAUUAGUUUUAUUUAAUAGAUAAGGCUAUUGAUGGUACCAGUGGAGGAAGCGCCGGUUAACUCCGUGUUAGCAGUUGUGGUAACACGGGGGGCGCAAGCGUUAUUCGGAAUUAUUGGGCGUAAAGGGCGCGCAGGCGGUCUUGUCCGUCAGGUGUGAAAGCCCGGGGUUUAACCCCGGAAGUGCACUUGAAACAGCAAGACUUGAAUACGGGAGAGGAGAGAGGAAUUCCUGGUGUAGAGGUGAAAUUCGUAGAUAUCAGGAGGAACACCGAUGGCGAAGGCAUCUCUCUGGACCGAUAUUGACGCUGAGGCGCGAAGGCGUGGGUAGCGAACGGGAUUAGAUACCCCGGUAGUCCACGCAGUAAACGUUGUACACUCGGUGUGGCGGAUAUUAAAAUCUGCUGUGCCUAAGCUAACGCAUUAAGUGUACCGCCUGGGAAGUAUGGUCGCAAGACUAAAACUCAAAGGAAUUGACGGGGGCCCGCACAAGCGGUGGAGCAUGUGGUUUAAUUCGACGCAAUGCGAAGAAUUUUACCUGGGUUUGAUAUUCUGUGAAUAUUGCGUAAUUGCAAUAGUGUUUUUGGGAGCACAGAGAUAGGUGCUGUAUGGCUGUUGUUAGUUUGUGUUGUGAGAUGUUUGGUUAAGUUUAGCAAUGAGUGUAACCCUUAUCGUCAGUUGCCAGCAUAUAAUGGUGGGAACUUUGGCGAGACUGCCCCGGUUAACGGGGAGGAAGGUGGGGAUGAUGUUAAGUCUUUAUGGCCCUUAUACCCAGGGCUAUACACGUGCUACAAUGGUAGGUAUAGAGGGUAGCGACUUUGUAAAAAGAAGCGAAUUCCAAAAGCCUAUCUUAGUCCGGAUUGGGGUCUGUAAUUUGACCCCAUGAAGUUGGAAUCGCUAGUAAUCGCGGAUUAGCAUGCCGCGGUGAAUAUGUUUUCGGGCCUUGUAUAUAUCGCCCGUCACACCAUGGAAGUUGAUUAUACCCGACGUUGCUGGGCUAAUUUCCCUUUCUUUAUAGAUUGGGUAGGGGCAGGCGCCUAAGGUAUGGUUGAUAACUGGGGUGAAGUUGUAACAAGG